UGAUAGAGAAAAGAUUGUCAGAUAUCUGCGGUGCCUUCCGAUUGGUAUUGAAGUAUGCCAAGAAGAGUUAUCUGAGCUGGUCGAACGAAUGGAUACUCUUCGAUUGAAGUCCAAAGUACUAUAUUCGAGCAAUUUUUCUGAGGAUGAUCAGGAAGCUGAUGCAGAGGAGGGCAUCAGAUACCUCCUGAAGAAGUAUGAGAGAUUUAUAGCUCUCAAGGUGGUCGAGCAGAUCGAUGGUGCUGUCGUACGAUUUCACCCAUGGCAUUUUGAACCGAUCUGAAAUCAAUUUAUCGAGAAUUCAUCGAGAGAAGGACGAACGGGAGCUGACAUCGAGCUCACCAGUAGGAUCUCGGUUAUUCACCUAGAGCCGAUUCAAGUGGCGAUCAAAGUCCUUCAGCUUGAGGUCGUAAUCAUCCAACUGCCAUUAAGAUUCAUCAAGAUGUUUGGAAUAUUCGAAGGUAGAACCUUCCCCAGAAGAAGAUCUUGAUGGAGACCGUGACCUCUUCCUCUUGUGUGAAGCUCAUCGAAGGGUCGGAAGGGGACCGGCGAUCACUAGAAGUGGCAUGCAGAGUGCACUGUGAGUCAGGUUGUGGCGAUCGCUGGACGGGCUGAGAAGCCGUCAGAUGGGAGCAGCGAGAUGGAGAAUGGGGCUGGGGAGCCUAGAGGGCAUGUCCCACAAUGUCGAAUCCUUUGUCCGCCAUGGCUACUAUUGCUGC
rnacentral:lncRNA from 1 species